rnacentral:rRNA from 1 species
GAUGAACGCUGGCGGCGUGCCUAAUACAUGCAAGUCGAGCGAACGGACGAGAAGCUUGCUUCUCUGAUGUUAGCGGCGGACGGGUGAGUAACACGUGGAUAACCUACCUAUAAGACUGGGAUAACUUCGGGAAACCGGAGCUAAUACCGGAUAAUAUUUUGAACCGCAUGGUUCAAAAGUAAAAGACGGUCUUGCUGUCACUUAUAGAUUGAUCCGCGCUGCAUUAGCUAGUUGGUAAGGUAACGGCUUACCAAGGCAACGAUGCAUAGCCGACCUGAGAGGGUGAUCGGCCACACUGGAACUGAGACACGGUCCAGACUCCUACGGGAGGCAGCAGUAGGGAAUCUUCCGCAAUGGGCGAAAGCCUGACGGAGCAACGCCGCGUGAGUGAUGAAGGUCUUCGGAUCGUAAAGCUCUGUUAUUAGGGAAGAACAUCUGUGUAAGUAACUGUGCACAUCUUGACGGUACCUAAUCAGAAAGCCACGGCUAACUACGUG